GAGGAGAGACAGGAAACAAUUGGACAGGUGAGGAUUCCCUUACCAAAAAGUAGUAUAGUUUAUUUUAUUAAGUAUACUUAAGGACAGUUCAAGUAUAUUUUGCAAAACGGUUUCGGGUAUUACCCCCUCCUCAGUGCCAUGUGCUACCAGGCACACACCUGCGCUCAUUAAACUAUGUAUCCCAUUACCAAAAUACACUUAAUAUACAAAUACAUACAAAAACAUAUUUUUUUUUAUUUUCUUUACAUCAGUUUUUAUAUACAAUAAGUAAACACACUCUUUAGAGUCCCACCCCAUACUCUUAAAUUAUUAUAAAUAACAAUUCAAAGACAAUUCUUCAUUCAUACCAAGAGGAUGUAAACUUUUAAGAUCAAAGAUCCACCUACAUUCCUUCUGCAGGAGUCUAUGUUCCAAAUUCCCCCCUCUACGAGUCUGUGUCAACCUUUCAAUAACGAUAAAGUUUAGAUCCAAAACUGAAUGAGAUAUCGCAACAAAAUGCCGGGCAACGGGAGAUUUUAAAUCAUUCCUUCUAAUAGCACUCAUAUGCUCGAUGAUCCGAGUCCUAAUUUGUCUAUUUGUCUUACCUACAUAUUGUUUUUUACAUGGACAAGACAACAGAUAAAUCACAUUAGUAGAAGCACAUGUAACCAGUUGUUUGAUUUUAUAUGUACGCUCAGUAGUACAACCACGAAACUCAAAACAUAUCUUGCGUACAUUUUUACAUGCCGCACAUUUAAGACAAGGAUAAAAACCAACAUCCUUACUCACGUGUCCAUCGAUACCAUCCCUGACAUAUGUAUUCGAUUUAACUAAAAAGUCCUUAAUAAUCCUCGCUCUGUAAUGAGAAAAAAGGGGAGAUCCGCAAAAAUCGUUUUACCCACCGGAUCACUGGAUAGUAUGUGCCAAUGUUUCUUAAUGAUAUCCUUAAUGGCAUAGCUAUAUGUAGAGUAUGUAGUAGUACAUGCUACGGAGUAAGAUUUCUGUUUAGAUGAUCUACAGACAACAUUUCUUACCUUAUUCAAAGCAUCAUCCAGCCACUUACUUGGAUAACCCCUUAGACGAAAACGCUUAUACAUCUCGACCACUUUUUGUUCAAAAUCAGAUUCCAUACUACAAAAACAGCGGCACAAUUUAGUCAGGAAGUUGCUCUGUUGUUUCUGAAGUGACUCUCAGCUGGACGUUUCUUUUUACCACAAUGUCCUCUCAUCUGUGUGCUCUGAUCCUGUUUGUUCUGUGCGGUGGUGAGUAACUCUUAUUACUUUUAAAUCAGUAAACAUGGAGCAUUUAAGCACAAAUGCAUUUCCACAAGUGAUUAAUCUUUUUUUUUUUUUUUGAUGUGCAUGUGUGGGCCUCAGGAAAUGAAAUUAUAUUAAGUCUCUGUCUGAUAAUAAUGUGUUUAUUAUUUAUGCUGCAGGUGUGUUUGGUGAUACAGAUGUCAGUGUCAGUGAUGGAGGGAGAUUCUGUUACUCUGAUCAUACUGAAUAUGAUAAGAUAUUGUGGAUGUUUGGACCUCAAGAGAUUCAUAUAGCUGAAAUCUAUAAGCAGAACAUAGAUAUGCCUCACAGAAAUGAGACAUUUGGAGACAGACUCCAGGUGGACAGUCAAACUGGAUCUCUGACCAUCAGAAACAUCAGAACUGAACACACCGGAAGUACAGACAUACAUACAAAGAGGGAUCUAUACCAAGAGAUUCAUUGUUACUGUCUACACUCAUCUGCCUGUUCCUGUCAUCACCAGUAACUCCUCUAACUGUUCUUCAUCAUCUUCUGAACGUUCAGUGUCCAGAUGUUCACUGCUGAAUGUGGGUCAUGUGACUCUCUCCUGGUUCAAAGGAAACAGUUUAUUGUCCAGCAUCAGUGUGUCUGAUCUCAGCAUCAGUCUCUCUCUUCCUCUGGAGGUGGAAUAUCAGGAGAAAAACACCUACAGCUGUGUGAUCAACAAUCCCAUCAGAAACCAGACCAAACAUCUGGACAUCAGUCAACUCUGUCACACAUGUGCAGGCUCUGUUCAGUGUUGUAGUUUUACUGAAGCUGUGAUCCGAUUGGUCAUCUCUGCUCUGGUGGUCACGGCUACUGUUGCUGUAUUGGUUGAUCACUUUAGAUCCAUGAAAGCUGAAAAGAUGAGGAAACAGUCAUCACUAUCAUUUUCGCCACGAUAAAUCAUGUGUUCUCCAAUGUGGUCGCUAGAUGGCAAAAUCAAACAUCUGUCCGUAAAGGAUUAGUUCACUUCCAGAAUAAAAAAUUCCCAAUAAUUUACUCACCCUCAUG